GACGUAGGGCGCGAGCGUUGUCCGGAUUUAUUGGGCGUAAAGAGCUCGUAGGCGGCUUGUCGCGUCGGAUGUGAAAACUCCAGGCUCAACUUGGAGACGCCAUUCGAUACUGCGAUGACUUGAGUCCGGUAGGGGAGUGUGGAAUUCCUGGUGUAGCGGUGAAAUGCGCAGAUAUCAGGAGGAACACCGGCGGCGAAGGCGGCACUCUGGGCCGGUACUGACGCUGAGGAGCGAAAGCGUGGGUAGCAAACAGG
rnacentral:rRNA from 1 species